rnacentral:rRNA from 1 species
CGCCUCUUGCAAAAUAUAAGAGGUCCAGCCUGCCCAGUGACUCUGUUCAACGGCCGCGGUAUCCUAACCGUGCGAAGGUAGCGUAAUCACUUGUUCUUUAAAUGUGGACUAGUAUGAAUGGCACCACGAGGGUUAUACUGUCUCCUUUCUCUAAUCAGUGAAACUGAUCUCCCCGUGAAGAAGCGGGGAUACACCUAUAAGACGAGAAGACCCUAUGGAGCUUUAAACAAAAUAGCACUUGCCCUACAACACAAAAAUUCCUGAAUCACUAAUACACCUGGCAAUAUGACUAUAAGUUUUUGGUUGGGGUGACCACGGAGUACAACACAACCUCCGUAUUGAAAGAAUACUAUUCUAAGCUAAGAACUACGAAUCUAAGCAUCAAAACACUGACAUCUAUUGACCCAAUACAAUUGAACAACGAACCAAGUUACCCUAGGGAUAACAGCGCAAUCCACUUCGAGAGCUCCUAUCGACAAGUGGGUUUACGACCUCGAUGUUGGAUCAGGGUCUCCCAGUGGUGCAGCCGCUACUAAUGGUUCGUUUGUUCAACGAUUAAAACCCUACG